AGAAGCUCAAACUAAUAUAAGCGGCCCAAAGAGCAGUUAGAGUAUACUAUUAUAGAAUUAAAAAGCUGCAAAGCCGUCAUACGCACAAGCAGACUAAAAACCCACAAACGAAGGUUAUUCUACUACCCUCGAACCCACCACAGCCAGGAAACAAACUGGGAUUAGAUACCCCACUAUGCCCGGCCAUAAACUUUGGAAAUACCCGCCAGAUAAUUACGAGCCACA
rnacentral:rRNA from 1 species